UAUGUGAUCGUCUCUCGCAUAUCAAUAAGCGGAGGAAAAGAAACUAACAAGGAUUCCCCUAGUAAUCGGCGAGUGAAGCGGGAAGAGCUCAAAUUUGAAAUCUUAAAGGGUUUCCCUUUACGAAUUGUAGUUUAAAGGAGUGUUUUCUGUUGAGGUUUUGGUAAAAGUUCUUUGGAAUAGGACAUCAUAGAGGGUGAGAAUCCCGUAUUUGACCUUUACUUUCAACUUUGUGAUACACUUUCAAAGAGUCGGAUUGUUUGGGAAUGCAGUCCAAAAUGGGUGGUAAAUUUCAUCUAAAGCUAAAUAUUGGCGAGAGACCGAUAGCGAACAAGUACCGUGAGGGAAAGAUGAAAAGAACUUUGAAAAGAGAGUUAAACAGUACGUGAAAUUGUCAAAAGGGAAGCGUUUGACACCAGUGUUGUUUUUCUGAAAAUCAAUUAAAGAACUGUUUAUGCUAAGUUGUUUAGACUUUAUCAGCUAACUGUUUAGUUUUGAGCUUUUCUUUAAUGCACUUUUCAGUUAACAAGUCAACAUCAAUUUCUUUUGCUGUAAAAAAGCUUGAGGAAGGUGGCUUGAGAUUCGUCUUAAGUGUUUAUAGCCUCUUGCCUAUGCAGUCGGAGAGAUUGAGGUCUGCAGCGUAGAUCCUUCGGGGCUAAAUGCAUUUGUGCUAAGUUAUAGCAUUUUAUAGACAACUUGUUGACUAUGAUUUGUCUUGUAGCUUACUCGCUUAUGUUAUUUUACCUACGCUUAGGAUGUUGACACACGCGCGUGCUCG
rnacentral:rRNA from 1 species